rnacentral:rRNA from 1 species
CAUGCAAGUCGAACGAGCGAGAGAGAGCUUGCUUUCUCGAGCGAGUGGCGAACGGGUGAGUAACGCGUGAGGAACCUGCCUCAAAGAGGGGGACAACAGUUGGAAACGACUGCUAAUACCGCAUAAGCCCACGGCUCGGCAUCGAGCAGAGGGAAAAGGAGCAAUCCGCUUUGAGAUGGCCUCGCGUCCGAUUAGCUAGUUGGUGAGGUAAUGGCCCACCAAGGCAACGAUCGGUAGCCGGACUGAGAGGUUGAACGGCCACAUUGGGACUGAGACACGGCCCAGACUCCUACGGGAGGCAGCAGUGGGGAAUAUUGCACAAUGGGGGAAACCCUGAUGCAGCGACGCCGCGUGGAGGAAGAAGGUCUUCGGAUUGUAAACUCCUGUUGUUGAGGAAGAUAAUGACGGUACUCAACAAGGAAGUGACGGCUAACUACGUGCCAGCAGCCGCGGUAAAACGUAGGUCACAAGCGUUGUCCGGAAUUACUGGGUGUAAAGGGAGCGCAGGCGGGAAGACAAGUUGGAAGUGAAAUCUAUGGGCUCAACCCAUAAACUGCUUUCAAAACUGUUUUUCUUGAGUAGUGCAGAGGUAGGCGGAAUUCCCGGUGUAGCGGCGGAAUGCGUAGAUAUCGGGAGGAACACCAGUGGCGAAGGCGGCCUACUGGGCACCAACUGACGCUGAGGCUCGAAAGUGUGGGUAGCAAACAGGAUUAGAUACCCUGGUAGUCUACACCGUAAACGAUGAUUACUAGG